GUUAUAUGGUCAAGCGAAUAAGCGCACACGGUGGAUGCCUAGGCGGUCAGAGGCGAUGAAGGACGUGGUAGCCUGCGAAAAGUGUCGGGGAGCUGGCAACAAGCUUUGAUCCGGCAAUGUCCGAAUGGGGAAACCCACUGCUUCGGCAGUAUCCUGCAGUGAAUUCAUAGCUGCUGGAAGCGAACCCGGUGAACUGAAAUAUCUAAGUAACCGGAGGAAAAGAAAUCAACCGAGAUUCCCUAAGUAGUGACGAGCGAACGGGGAGCAGCCCUUAAGCUGGAAUGGCUUUAGAAAAACAAUCUGGAAAGAUUGGCCAUAGAAGGUGAUAGCCCUGUAUUUAAAAGGGCCACUCCAGUGAAGACGAGUAGGGCGGGGCACGUGAAACCCUGUCUGAAUAUGGGGGGACCAUCCUCCAAGGCUAAAUACUCCUGACCGACCGAUAGUGAACCAGUACCGUGAGGGAAAGGCGAAAAGAACCCCGGAGAGGGGAGUGAAAUAGAUCCUGAAACCGUGUGCGUACAAGCAGUAGGAGCUCGCAAGAGUGACUGCGUACCUUUUGUAUAAUGGGUCAGCGACUUACUGUUCGUGGCAAGCUUAACCGUAUAGGGGAGGCGAAGGGAAACCGAGUCUGAUAAGGGCGCAUAGUCGCGGGCAGUAGACCCGAAACCGGGUGAUCUAGUCAUGGCCAGGGUGAAGGUGCCGUAACAGGUACUGGAGGCCCGAACCCACGUCUGUUGCAAAAGACGGGGAUGAGCUGUGAUUAGGAGUGAAAAGCUAAUCGAACCCGGAGAUAGCUGGUUCUCCUCGAAAGCUAUUUAGGUAGCGCCUCGGACGAAUACUACUGGGGGUAGAGCACUGUUAUGGCUAGGGGGUCAUCGCGACUUACCAAACCAUUGCAAACUCCGAAUACCAGUACGUACUAUCCGGGAGACACACGGCGGGUGCUAACGUCCGUCGUGAAAAGGGAAACAACCCAGACCCACAGCUAAGGUCCCAAAUUCACUGCUAAGUGGAAAACGAUGUGGAAAGGCAUAGACAGCCAGGAGGUUGGCUUAGAAGCAGCCACCCUUUAAAGAAAGCGUAAUAGCUCACUGGUCGAGUCGGUCUGCGCGGAAGAUUUAACGGGGCUAAGCAGUGAACCGAAGCUUGGGGUGCAUAAAACUUGUUUUAUGCGCGGUAGAGGAGCGUUCCGUAAGCCUGCGAAGGUGGAUUGAGAAGUCUGCUGGAGGUAUCGGAAGUGCGAAUGCUGACAUGAGUAACGAUAAUGCGGGUGAAAAGCCCGCACGCCGAAAGCCCAAGGUUUCCUUGCGCAACGUUAAUCGACGCAGGGUUAGUCGGUCCCUAAGGCGAGGGCGAAAGCCGUAGUCGAUGGGAAGCAGGUUAAUAUUCCUGCACCUCGCGUGAGUGCGAUGGAGGGACGGAGAAGGUUAGGUGUACCGGGCGUUGGUUGUCCCGGGGAAAGGCGGUAGGUUUGGAUCUUUGGCAAAUCCGGGAUCCUUUAAGACCGAGCACCGAGACGAGCCUUUAUGGCAAAGUCACUGAUACCACGCUUCCAGGAAAAGCUCCUAAGCUUCAGCUCACGAAGACCGUACCGUAAACCGACACAGGUGGGUAGGAUGAGAAUUCUCAGGCGCUUGAGAGAACUCGGGUGAAGGAACUAGGCAACAUGGCACCGUAACUUCGGGAGAAGGUGCACCCUUUUUGGUGGCUCAUGCGAGCUAUAGCUGAAGAGGGUCGCAGAAACCAGGCCGCUGCGACUGUUUAUCAAAAACACAGCACUCUGCAAACACGAAAGUGGACGUAUAGGGUGUGACGCCUGCCCGGUGCUGGAAGGUUAAUUGAUGGGGUCAGCCGCAAGGCGAAGCUCUUGAUCGAAGCCCCAGUAAACGGCGGCCGUAACUAUAACGGUCCUAAGGUAGCGAAAUUCCUUGUCGGGUAAGUUCCGACCUGCACGAAUGGCGUAACGACAGCGGCGCUGUCUCCACCCGAGACUCAGUGAAAUUGAAAUCGCUGUGAAGAUGCAGCGUUCCCGUGGCAAGACGGAAAGACCCCGUGAACCUUUACUAUAGCUUUACACUGAACGUUGAGUUCGUCUGUGUAGGAUAGGUGGGAGGCUAUGAAACUGUGGCGCUAGCUGCAGUGGAGCCAUCCUUGAAAUACCACCCUGUCGUGCUUGACGUUCUAACCUAGAUCCGUUAUCCGGAUCAGGGACCGUGUAUGGUGGGUAGUUUGACUGGGGCGGUCUCCUCCUAAAGAGUAACGGAGGAGCACGAAGGUACGCUCAGCGCGGUCGGACAUCGCGCACUGUGUGCAAAGGCAUAAGCGUGCUUGACUGCAAGAUCGACGGAUCAAGCAGGUACGAAAGUAGGUCUUAGUGAUCCGGUGGUUCUGUAUGGAAGGGCCAUCGCUCAACGGAUAAAAGGUACUCCGGGGAUAACAGGCUGAUACCGCCCAAGAGUUCAUAUCGACGGCGGUGUUUGGCACCUCGAUGUCGGCUCAUCACAUCCUGGGGCUGUAGUCGGUCCCAAGGGUAUGGCUGUUCGCCAUUUAAAGUGGUACGCGAGCUGGGUUCAGAACGUCGUGAGACAGUUCGGUCCCUAUCUGCCAUGGGCGUUGGAAGUUUGAGAGGGGCUGCUCCUAGUACGAGAGGACCGGAGUGGACGAACCUCUGGUGUUCCGGUUGUCACGCCAGUGGCAUUGCCGGGUAGCUAUGUUCGGAAGCGAUAACCGCUGAAAGCAUCUAAGCGGGAAGCGCGCCUCAAGAUGAGACUUCCCGGGGCACAAGCCCCCUAAAGGAACCAUAUAGACUAUGUGGUUGAUAGGUCAGGUGUGUAAGUACAGCAAUGUAUUGAGCUAACUGAUACUAAUGAUCCGUGCGGCUUGACCAUAUAACCU
rnacentral:rRNA from 4 species